rnacentral:rRNA from 1 species
GGGUGCGAGCGUUGUCCGGAAUUACUGGGCGUAAAGGGCGCGUAGGCGGCGUGGUAAGUCACUUGUGAAAUCUCUGAGCUUAACUCAGAACGGCCAAGUGAUACUGCUGUGCUAGAGUGCAGAAGGGGCAAUCGGAAUUCUUGGUGUAGCGGUGAAAUGCGUAGAUAUCAAGAGGAACACCUGAGGUGAAGACGGGUUGCUGGGCUGACACUGACGCUGAGGCGCGAAAGCCAGGGGAGCGAACGGG